UGGGGAAUUUUGCACAAUGGGGGAAACCCUGAUGCAGCGACGCCGCGUUAUUUAGAAGGCCUUCGGGUUGCAAAAAUCUUUUCUAUGGGAAGAAAAUGACAGUACCAUAGGAAUAAGGACCGGCUAAUUACGUGCCAGCAGCCGCGGUAAUACGAAAGGUCCGUGCGUUGUCCGGCACCAUUGGGCGUAAAGGGUACGUAGGCGGGUAAGCAAGUUAGAAGUGAAAUCCUAUAGCUCAACUAUAGUAAGCUUUUAAAACUGCUCAUCUUGAGUUAUAGAAAGGAAGGUGGAAUUCCUAGUGUAGCGGUGAAAUGCGCAGAUAUUAGGAGGAAUACCGGUGGCGAAGGCGACUUUCUGGCCAUAACCUGACGCUGAGGUACGAAAGCGUGGGUAGCAAACAGG
rnacentral:rRNA from 1 species